rnacentral:rRNA from 1 species
GAUGAACGCUGGCGGCGUGCCUAACACAUGCAAGUCGAGCGGAGAUUUCCGAGUAGUAAUACGAGGGGAUCUUAGCGGCGGACGGGUGAGUAACACGUGAGCAAUCUGCCUUCUGCUGGGGAAUAACAUUGUGAAAACAGUGCUAAUACCGCAUAAUGUGCCACCGGGGCAUCCCGGAGGCACCAAAGGAGCAAUCCGGCAGGAGAUGAGCUCGCGUCCGAUUAGCUCGUUGGUGGGGUAAUGGCCUACCAAGGCGACGAUCGGUAGGUGGUCUGAGAGGACGAUCACCCAGACUGGGACUGAGACACGGCCCAGACUCCUACGGGAGGCAGCAGUCGGGAAUUUUGCUCAAUGGGGGAAACCCUGAAGCAGCAACGCCGCGUGAGGGACGAAUGCCUUCGGGUUGUAAACCUCUUUUGUCAGGGACGAUGAUGACGGUACCUGGCGAAUAAGCCACGGCUAACUACGUGCCAGCAGCCGCAGUAACAC